GCCAUGCCGCGUGGGUGAAGAAGGCCUUCGGGUUGUAAAGCCCUUUUGUUGGGAAAGAAAAGCAGUCGGUUAAUACCCGAUUGUUCUGACGGUACCCAAAGAAUAAGCACCGGCUAACUUCGUGCCAGCAGCCGCGGUAAUACGAAGGGUGCAAGCGUUACUCGGAAUUACUGGGCGUAAAGCGUGCGUAGGUGGUGGUUUAAGUCCGUUGUGAAAGCCCUGGGCUCAACCUGGGAAUUGCAGUGGAUACUGGGUCACUAGAGUGUGGUAGAGGGUAACGGAAUUCCCGGUGUAGCAGUGAAAUGCGUAGAGAUCGGGAGGAACAUCUGUGGCGAAGGCGGCUACCUGGACCAACACUGACACUGAGGCACGAAAGCGUGGGGAGCAAACAGGAUUAGAUACCCUGGUAGUCCACGCCCUAAACGAUGCGAACUGGAUGUUGGGUGCAAUUUGGCACGCAGUAUCGAAGCUAACGCGUUAAGUUCGCCGCCUGGAGAGUACGGUCGCAAGACUGAAACUCAAAGGAAUUGACGGGGGCCCGCACAAGCGGUGGAAUAUGUGGUUUAAUUCGAUGCAACGCGAAGAACCUUACCUGGUCUUGACAUCCACGGAACUUUCCAGA
rnacentral:rRNA from 1 species